rfam:Fervidicola ferrireducens strain Y170 AN618_contig000102, whole genome shotgun sequence.
GCUAGUAAUCGCGGAUCAGCAUGCCGCGGUGAAUACGUUCCCGGGCCUUGUACACACCGCCCGUCACACCAUGGGAGUUGGCAACACCCGAAGCCGGACGUAAGGUCCGUCGAAGGUGGGGCCAGCGACUGGGGUGAAGUCGUAACAAGGUAGCCGUACCGGAAGGUGCGGCUGGAUCACCUCCUUU